rnacentral:tRNA from 1 species
GCCGGAGUGGCGAAAUCGGCAGACGCAGCGGACUCAAAAUCCGCCGGCCCGCGAGGGUCAUCCCGGUUCGAGCCCGGGCUCCGGCACCA